GACGAACGCUGGCGGCGUGCUUAACACAUGCAAGUCGAACGGAAAGGCCCUGCUUUUGUGGGUUGCUCGAGUGGCGAACGGGUGAGUAACACGUGAGUAACCUGCCCUUGUCUUUGGGAUAACUUCAGGAGACUGGGGCUCAUACCGGAUAGGAGCUCCUGCUGCAUGGUGGGGGUUGGAAAGAUUCGGCGGUUGGGGAUGGACUGGCGGCUUAUCAGCUUGUUGGUGAGGUAGUGGCUUACCAAGGCUUUGACGGGUAGGCGGCCUGAGAGGGUGACCGGCCACAUUGGGACUGAGAUACGGCCCAGACUCCUACGGGAGGCAGCAGUGGGGAAUAUUGCACAAUGGGCGGACGCCUGAUGCAGCAGCGCCGCGUGCGGGAUGACGGCCUUCGGGUUGUAAACCGCUUUCGCAUGUGACGAAGCGUGAGUGACGGUAAUGGGUAAAGAAGCACCGGCUAACUACGUG
rnacentral:rRNA from 1 species